UGCCCCAUGGCUGAGUUGGUUACAGCGUCCGACUGUUAAGUGAGUACACUCAUCUGAUAUCGGAAGGUCGUGAGUUCGAGCCUCACUGGGGCAG